rnacentral:misc_RNA from 1 species
GAAAGACUUGAUUGUCUGCUGUCUAGCUUUUCUACCAACUGGUUGGGGCUUGAUAUUGGUUGGCCAAGUAGUGAGACCAAAGAUUGAAGGUACUGGAUUGUGGCACUUCACUCGAGUGUUUGCUCGAGCUUAUGACUAUGGAAUGGGUGUUGUUCUUUUCGCGCCUUUAGCUUCACUGGCUUGGCUUCCAAUAAUUUCAGCUUUCCAAACUCGGUUUCUGUUCAAUGAGGCUUUCAGUAGGAGGCUGCAAAUUCAGCCAAUUCUUGCAGGA